rnacentral:rRNA from 1 species
UGGGGAAUAUUGCACAAUGGGCGAAAGCCUGAUGCAGCGACGCCGCGUGAGGGAUGACGGCCUUCGGGUUGUAAACCUCUUUCAGCUCCGACGAAGCGAAAGUGACGGUAGGGGCAGAAGAAGCGCCGGCCAACUACGUGCCAGCAGCCGCGGUAAGACGUAGGGCGCGAGCGUUGUCCGGAUUUAUUGGGCGUAAAGAGCUCGUAGGCGGCUUGUCGCGGCGGCUGUGAAAACCCGUGGCUCAACCAUGUGGUCUGCAAUCGAUACGGGCAGGCUAGAAUUCGGUAGGGGAGACUGGAAUUCCUGGUGUAGCGGUGAAAUGCGCAGAUAUCAGGAGGAACACCGGUGGCGAAGGCGGGUCUCUGGGCCGAUAUUGACGCUGAGGAGCGAAAGCGUGGGGAGCGAAC